AUUGAACGCUGGCGGCAGGCCUAACACAUGCAAGUCGAGCGGCAGCGGAAAGUAGCUUGCUACUUUGCCGGCGAGCGGCGGACGGGUGAGUAAUGUCUGGGAAACUGCCUGAUGGAGGGGGAUAACUACUGGAAACGGUAGCUAAUACCGCAUGACCUCGAAAGAGCAAAGUGGGGGAUCUUCGGACCUCACGCCAUCGGAUGUGCCCAGAUGGGAUUAGCUAGUAGGUGAGGUAAUGGCUCACCUAGGCGACGAUCCCUAGCUGGUCUGAGAGGAUGACCAGCCACACUGGAACUGAGACACGGUCCAGACUCCUACGGGAGGCAGCAGUGGGGAAUAUUGCACAAUGGGCGCAAGCCUGAUGCAGCCAUGCCGCGUGUGUGAAGAAGGCCUUAGGGUUGUAAAGCACUUUCAGCGAGGAGGAAGGCACCAUACUUAAUACGUGUGGUGAUUGACGUUACUCGCAGAAGAAGCACCGGCUAACUCCGUGCCAGCAGCCGCGGUAAUACGGAGGGUGCAAGCGUUAAUCGGAAUUACUGGGCGUAAAGCGCACGCAGGCGGUUUGUUAAGUCAGAUGUGAAAUCCCCGCGCUUAACGUGGGAACUGCAUUUGAAACUGGCAAGCUAGAGUCUUGUAGAGGGGGGUAGAAUUCCAGGUGUAGCGGUGAAAUGCGUAGAGAUCUGGAGGAAUACCGGUGGCGAAGGCGGCCCCCUGGACAAAGACUGACGCUCAGUGCGAAAGCGUGGGGAGCAAACAGG
rnacentral:rRNA from 1 species